rnacentral:rRNA from 1 species
ACGCGAUGAACCUUACCAGGUCUUGACAUCCUUCGCUACUUCUAGAGAUAGAAGGUUCCCCUUUUAGGGGACGAAGUGACAGGUGGUGCAUGGUUGUCGUCAGCUCGUGUCGUGAGAUGUUGGGUUAAGUCCCGCAACGAGCGCAACCCUUGAUCUUAGUUGCCAGCAUUCAGUUGGGCACUCUAAGGUGACUGCCGGUGACAAACCGGAGGAAGGUGGGGAUGACGUCAAAUCAUCAUGCCCCUUAUGACCUGGGCUACACACGUGCUACAAUGGAUGGUACAAAGGGCUGCAAGACUGCGAAGUCAAGCCAAUCCCAUAAAACCAUUCUCAGUUCGGAUUGCAGGCUGCAACUCGCCUGCAUGAAGCCGGAAUCGCUAGUAAUCGCGGAUCAGCAUGCCGCGGUGAAUACGUUCCCGGGCCUUGCACACACCGCCCGU